rnacentral:rRNA from 1 species
UACAGAGGGUGCGAGCGUUGUCCGGAAUCACUGGGCGUAAAGGGCGCGUAGGUGGCGCAACAAGUCAGUGGUGAAAGCUCGACGCUCAACGUCGAGUCGGCCACUGAGACUGUUGGGCUUGAGCACUGUAGAGGCUAAUGGAAUUCCAGGUGUAGCGGUGAAAUGCGUAGAUAUCUGGAGGAACACCGGUGGCGAAGGCGGCAUCCUGGACCGGUAUUGACGCUGAGGCGCGAAAGCCAGGGGAGCAAACGGG